rnacentral:rRNA from 1 species
AUUGAACGCUGGCGGCAUGCCUUACACAUGCAAGUCGAACGGUAACGCGGGGCAACCUGGCGACGAGUGGCGAACGGGUGAGUAAUGCAUCGGAACGUGCCCAGUAGUGGGGGAUAGCCCGGCGAAAGCCGGAUUAAUACCGCAUACGACCUACGGGUGAAAGGGGGGGAUCGCAAGACCUCUCGCGAUUGGAGCGGCCGAUGUCAGAUUAGGUAGUUGGUGGGGUAAAGGCCUACCAAGCCGACGAUCUGUAGCUGGUCUGAGAGGACGACCAGCCACACUGGGACUGAGACACGGCCCAGACUCCUACGGGAGGCAGCAGUGGGGAAUUUUGGACAAUGGGCGCAAGCCUGAUCCAGCCAUGCCGCGUGCGGGAAGAAGGCCUUCGGGUUGUAAACCGCUUUUGUCAGGGAAGAAAUCUCCUGGGUUAAUACCUCGGGAGGAUGACGGUACCUGAAGAAUAAGCACCGGCUAACUACGUGCCAGCCGCCGCCGUAAGAC